GGACCCGCACAAGUAGUGGAGCAUGUGGUUUAAUUCGAAGAUACGCGCAGAACCUUACCAACACUUGACAUGUUCGUCGCGACUCUAAGAGAUUAGAGUUUUCGGUUCGGCCGGACGAAACACAGGUGCUGCAUGGCUGUCGUCAGCUCGUGUCGUGAGAUGUUGGGUUAAGUCCCGCAACGAGCGCAACCCUCACUUUUAGUUGCCAUCAUUUAGUUGGGCACUCUGAAAGAACUGCCAGUGAUAAGCUGGAGGAAGGUGGGGAUGACGUCAAGUCCUCAUGGCCCUUACGUGUUGGGCUACACACGUGCUACAAUGGUAUCUACAACAGGAAGCAAGACUGCGAGGUCAAGCAAAUCCUUAAAAGAUACCUCAGUUCGGAUCGGAGUCUGCAACUCGACUCCGUGAAGUUGGAAUC
rnacentral:rRNA from 1 species